GUUGGGUAGGGGAGCGUUCUGUAAGCCGUUGAAGGUGGCCUGUGAGGGUUGCUGGAGGUAUCAGAAGUGCGAAUGCUGACAUAAGUAACGAUAAAGCGGGUGAAAAGCCCGCUCGCCGGAAGACCAAGGGUUCCUGUCCAACGUUAAUCGGGGCAGGGUGAGUCGACCCCUAAGGCGAGGCCGAAAGGCGUAGUCGAUGGGAAACGGGUUAAUAUUCCCGUACUUGGUGUUACUGCGAAGGGGGGACGGAGAAGGCUAUGUUGGCCGGGCGACGGUUGUCCCGGUUUAAGCGUGUAGGUGUGUGUUCCAGGUAAAUCCGGUUCACUUUAACACUGAGGCGUGAUGACGAGGCACUACGGUGCUGAAGCAACAAAUGCCCUGCUUCCAGGAAAAGCCUCUAAGCCUCAGGUAACAUCAAAUCGUACCCCAAACCGACACAGGUGGUCAGGUAGAGAAUACCAAGGCGCUUGAGAGAACUCGGGUGAAGGAACUAGGCAAAAUGGUGCCGUAACUUCGGGAGAAGGCACGCUGAUAUGUAGGUGAAGUGAUUUACUCAUGGAGCUGAAAUCAGUCGAAGAUACCAGCUGGCUGCAACUGUUUAUUAAAAACACAGCACUGUGCAAACACGAAAGUGGACGUAUACGGUGUGACGCCUGCCCGGUGCCGGAAGGUUAAUUGAUGGGGUCAGCGCAAGCGAAGCUCCUGAUCGAAGCCCCGGUAAACGGCGGCCGUAACUAUAACGGUCCUAAGGUAGCGAAAUUCCUUGUCGGGUAAGUUCCGACCUGCACGAAUGGCGUAAUGAUGGCCAGGCUGUCUCCACCCGGGACUCAGUGAAAUUGAACUCGCUGUGAAGAUGCAGUGUACCCGCGGCAAGACGGAAAGACCCCGUGAACCUUUACUAUAGCUUGACACUGAACACUGGUCCUUGAUGUGCAGGAUAGGUGGGAGGCUUUGAAGUGUGGACGCCAGUCUGCAUGGAGCCAUCCUUGAAAUACCACCCUUUAAUGGCUGGUGUUCUAACGUGGGCCCGUGAACCGGGUUGCGGACAGUGUCUGGUGGGUAGUUUGACUGGGGCGGUCUCCUCCUAAAGAGUAACGGAGGAGCACGAAGGUUGGCUAAUCCUGGUCGGACAUCAGGAGGUUAGUGCAAUGGCAUAAGCCAGCUUGACUGCGAGCGUGACGGCGCGAGCAGGUGCGAAAGCAGGUCAUAGUGAUCCGGUGGUUCUGAAUGGAAGGGCCAUCGCUCAACGGAUAAAAGGUACUCCGGGGAUAACAGGCUGAUACCGCCCAAGAGUUCAUAUCGACGGCGGUGUUUGGCACCUCGAUGUCGGCUCAUCACAUCCUGGGGCUGAAGUAGGUCCCAAGGGUAUGGCUGUUCGCCAUUUAAAGUGGUACGCGAGCUGGGUUUAGAACGUCGUGAGACAGUUCGGUCCCUAUCUGCCGUGGGCGCUGGAAGAUUGAGGGGGGCUGCUCCUAGUACGAGAGGACCGGAGUGGACGCAUCACUGGUGUUCGGGUUGUCAUGCCAAUGGCACUGCCCGGUAGCUACAUGCGGAAGAGAUAAGUGCUGAAAGCAUCUAAGCACGAAACUUGCCCCGAGAUGAAUCUUCCCUGAGCCUUUAAGGCUCCUGAAGGAACGUUGA
rnacentral:rRNA from 1 species